GUCAUGUAAGGGCGCGAAGGCGAGGAAAGACGUGGGUGGAGAGGUUGAGUCGUAGUGACUGGGCGUAAAGCGUGCGCAGGCGGUUGGGUAAGAAGGGCGUGAAAUCCCCGGGCUUAACCUGGGAACUGCGCUUGUGACUGCCGAACUAGAGUACGGCAGAGGGGGGGGGAAUUCCACGUGUAGCAGUGAAAUGCGUAGAGAUGGGGAGGAACACCGAUGGCGAAGGCAGCCCCCUGGGUCAACACUGACGCUCAUGCACGAAAGCGUGGGGAGCAAACAGGAUUAGAUACCCCAGUAGUC
rnacentral:rRNA from 1 species